GGAUGAACGCUGGCGGCGUGCUUAACACAUGCAAGUCGAACGGUGAAGCCAAGCUUGCUUGGUGGAUCAGUGGCGAACGGGUGAGUAACACGUGAGCAAUCUGCCCUUGACUCUGGGAUAAGCGCUGGAAACGGCGUCUAAUACUGGAUAUGAGCUGCGGCCGCAUGGUCGGCAGUUGGAAAGAUUUUUCGGUCAAGGAUGAGCUCGCGGCCUAUCAGCUUGUUGGUGAGGUAAUGGCUCACCAAGGCGUCGACGGGUAGCCGGCCUGAGAGGGUGACCGGCCACACUGGGACUGAGACACGGCCCAGACUCCUACGGGAGGCAGCAGUGGGGAAUAUUGCACAAUGGGCGGAAGCCUGAUGCAGCAACGCCGCGUGAGGGAUGACGGCCUUCGGGUUGUAAACCUCUUUUAGCAGGGAAGAAGCGUGAGUGACGGUACCUGCAGAAAAAGCACCGGCUAACUACGUGCCAGCAGCCGCGGUAAUACGUAGGGUGCAAGCGUUAUCCGGAAUUAUUGGGCGUAAAGAGCUCGUAGGCGGUUUGUCGCGUCUGCUGUGAAAUCCCGAGGCUCAACCUCGGGUCUGCAGUGGGUACGGGCAGACUAGAGUGCGGUAGGGGAGAUUGGAAUUCCUGGUGUAGCGGUGGAAUGCGCAGAUAUCAGGAGGAACACCGAUGGCGAAGGCAGAUCUCUGGGCCGUAACUGACGCUGAGGAGCGAAAGGGUGGGGAGCAAACAGGCUUAGAUACCCUGGUAGUCCACCCCGU
rnacentral:rRNA from 1 species